GUAGGUGGCAAGCGUUGUCCGGGAAUUAUUGGGGCGUAAAGCGCGCGCAGGCGGUUUUUUAAGUCUGAUGUGAAAGCCCACGGGCUCAACCGUGGAGGGUCAUUGGAAACUGGAGAACUUGAGUACAGAAGAGGAGAGCGGAAUUCCACGUGUAGCGGUGAAAUGCGUAGAGAUGUGGAGGAACACCAGUGGCGAAGGCGGCUUUCUGGUCUGUAACUGACGCUGAGGCGCGAAAGCGUGGGGAGCAAACAGGAUUAGAUACCCUGGUAGUCCACGCCGUAAACGAUGAGUGCUAAGUGUUAGGGGGUUUCCGCCCCUUAGUGCUGCAGCUAACGCAUUAAGCACUCCGCCUGGGGAGUACGGCCGCAAAGGCUG
rnacentral:rRNA from 1 species